CAAAGUUAAUAAGGGCGCACGGUGGAUGCCUUGGCACUAAGAGCCGAUGAAGGACGUGACUAACGACGAUAUUCUAGGGGGAGCAGUAAGUACGCAUUGAUCCCUAGGUCUCCGAAUGGGGAAACCCAGCUGCUACUAGCAGUUAUUCAUGAGUGAAUACAUAGCUCAUGUAAAGGUAACGCAGAGAACUGAAACAUCUAAGUACCUGCAGGAAGAGAAAGUAAAAACGAUUUCGUAAGUAGCGGCGAGCGAACGCGAAGAAGGGCAAACCAAGAAGCUUGCUUCUUGGGGUUGUAGGACUGCAACGUGGACUUAAGCAUUAUAGUCGAAUAACCUGGGAAGGUUAAUCAAAGAGGGUAAUAAUCCCGUAGACGAAAUAGCGCUUAUACCUAGCAGUAUCCUGAGUAGGGCUGGACACGCGAAAUCCAGUUUGAAUCCGGGAGGACCAUCUCCCAACCCUAAAUACUCCUUAGUGACCGAUAGUGAACCAGUACCGUGAGGGAAAGGUGAAAAGAACCCCGAGAGGGGAGUGAAAUAGCACCUGAAACCGUGUGCCUACAAGAAGUUCGAGCCCGUUAAUGGGUGAGAGCGUGCCUUUUGUAGAAUGAACCGGCGAGUUACGUUAUGAUGCGAGGUUAAGUUGAAGAGACGGAGCCGUAGGGAAACCGAGUCUGAAUAGGGCGACUUAGUAUCAUGAUGUAGACCCGAAACCUAGUGACCUAUCCAUGAGCAGGGUGAAGGUGUGGUAAGACGCACUGGAGGCCCGAACCAGGACACGUUGAAAAGUGUUUGGAUGACUUGUGGAUAGCGGAGAAAUUCCAAACGAACUGGGAGAUAGCUGGUUCUCUCCGAAAUAGCUUUAGGGCUAGCGUCGAAAUGUAAGUGUAUUGGAGGUAGAGCACUGUUUGGGUGAGGGGUCCGUCUAGGAUUACCAAUCUCAGAUAAACUCCGAAUGCUAAUACACAUGUUCGGCAGUCAGACUGCGAGUGCUAAGAUCCGUAGUCGAAAGGGAAACAGCCCAGACCAACAGCUAAGGUCCCAAAAUAUAUGUUAAGUGGAAAAGGAUGUGGGGUUGCACAGACAACUAGGAUGUUAGCUCAGAAGCAGCUAUCAUUCAAAGAGUGCGUAAUAGCUCACUAGUCGAGUGACCCUGCGCCGAAAAUGUACCGGGGCUAAACAUAUUACCGAAGCUUUGGAUUGAUAUUUUAUCAAUGGUAGGAGAGCGUUCUUAACCGCGAUGAAGGUAUACCGUGAGGAGUGCUGGAGCGUUAAGAAGUGAGAAUGCCGGUAUGAGUAGCGCAAGAUAAGUGAGAAUCUUAUCCACCGUAAGACUAAGGUUUCCAGGGGAAGGCUCGUCCGCCCUGGGUUAGUCGGGACCUAAGGCGAGGCCGAAAGGCGUAGUCGAUGGACAACUGGUUGAUAUUCCAGUACUAGAUAUGAUCGUGAUGGAGGGACGCAGUAGGCUAAGAGAUGCCAGUUAAUGGAUUCUGGUCUAAGCAGUGAGGUGUGAGAUGUGUCAAAUGCAUUUCUCUUUAACAUUGAGCUGUGAUGGGGAAGCAACUACGGUUGCGAACUCUCUGAUGUCACACUGCCAAGAAAAGCUUCUAGCGUAAAGUCAUAUCUACCCGUACCGCAAACCGACACAGGUAGUCGAGGCGAGUAGCCUCAGGUGAUCGAGAGAACUCUCGUUAAGGAACUCGGCAAAAUAGCCCCGUAACUUCGGGAGAAGGGGUGCUGGUGUAAAAGCCAGCCGCAGUGAAUAGGCCCAAGCAACUGUUUAUCAAAAACACAGCUCUCUGCUAAAUCGUAAGAUGAUGUAUAGGGGGUGACGCCUGCCCGGUGCUGGAAGGUUAAGAGGAGUGCUUAGACGUAAGUCGAAGGUAUGAAUUGAAGCCCCAGUAAACGGCGGCCGUAACUAUAACGGUCCUAAGGUAGCGGGUAAGUUCCGACCCGCACGAAAGGCGUAAUGAUUUGGGCACUGUCUCAACGAGAGACUCGGUGAAAUUUUAGUACCUGUGAAGAUGCAGGUUACCCGCGACAGGACGGAAAGACCCCAUGGAGCUUUACUGUAGUUUGAUAUUGAGUACCUGUAAGUCAUGUACAGGAUAGGUAGGAGCCAUUGAAAUAGGGACGCUAGUUUCUAUUGAGGCGUUGUUGGGAUACUACCCUUGACUUAUGGUUACUCUAACCCGCUGGCAUAAUCGGCCAGGGAGACAGUGUCUGACGGACAGUUUGACUGGGGCGGUCGCCUCCUAAAGAGUAACGGAGGCGCUCAAAGGUUCUCUCAGUACGGUCGGAAAUCGUACGUAGAGUGUAAAGGCAAAAGAGAGCUUGAUUGCAAGACAUACAGGUCGAGCAAGGACGAAAGUCGGACUUAGUGAUCCGGUGGUUCCGCAUGGAAGGGCCAUCGCUCAACGGAUAAAAGCUACCCUGGGGAUAACAGGCUGAUCUCCCCCAAGAGU
rnacentral:rRNA from 1 species